AGGUUAAUAUUCCUGUACUUGGUGUUACUGCGAAGGGGGGACGGAGAAGGCUAUGUUGGCCGGGCGACGGUUGUCCCGGUUUAAGCGUGUAGGCUGGUUUUCCAGGCAAAUCCGGAAAAUCAAGGCUGAGGCGUGAUGACGAGGCACUACGGUGCUGAAGCAACAAAUGCCCUGCUUCCAGGAAAAGCCUCUAAGCAUCAGGUAACAUCAAAUCGUACCCCAAACCGACACAGGUGGUCAGGUAGAGAAUACCAAGGCGCUUGAGAGAACUCGGGUGAAGGAACUAGGCAAAAUGGUGCCGUAACUUCGGGAGAAGGCACGCUGAUAUGUAGGUGAAGUCCCUUGCGGAUGGAGCUGAAAUCAGUCGAAGAUACCAGCUGGCUGCAACUGUUUAUUAAAAACACAGCACUGUGCAAACACGAAAGUGGACGUAUACGGUGUGACGCCUGCCCGGUGCCGGAAGGUUAAUUGAUGGGGUCAGCGCAAGCGAAGCUCUUGAUCGAAGCCCCGGUAAACGGCGGCCGUAACUAUAACGGUCCUAAGGUAGCGAAAUUCCUUGUCGGGUAAGUUCCGACCUGCACGAAUGGCGUAAUGAUGGCCAGGCUGUCUCCACCCGAGACUCAGUGAAAUUGAACUCGCUGUGAAGAUGCAGUGUACCCGCGGCAAGACGGAAAGACCCCGUGAACCUUUACUAUAGCUUGACACUGAACAUUGAGCCUUGAUGUGUAGGAUAGGUGGGAGGCUUUGAAGUGUGGACGCCAGUCUGCAUGGAGCCGGCCUUGAAAUACCACCCUUUAAUGUUUGAUGUUCUAACGUGGACCCGUGAUCCGGGUUGCGGACAGUGUCUGGUGGGUAGUUUGACUGGGGCGGUCUCCUCCUAAAGAGUAACGGAGGAGCACGAAGGUUGGCUAAUCCUGGUCGGACAUCAGGAGGUUAGUGCAAUGGCAUAAGCCAGCUUGACUGCGAGCGUGACGGCGCGAGCAGGUGCGAAAGCAGGUCAUAGUGAUCCGGUGGUUCUGAAUGGAAGGGCCAUCGCUCAACGGAUAAAAGGUACUCCGGGGAUAACAGGCUGAUACCGCCCAAGAGUUCAUAUCGACGGCGGUGUUUGGCACCUCGAUGUCGGCUCAUCACAUCCUGGGGCUGAAGUAGGUCCCAAGGGUAUGGCUGUUCGCCAUUUAAAGUGGUACGCGAGCUGGGUUUAGAACGUCGUGAGACAGUUCGGUCCCUAUCUGCCGUGGGCGCUGGAGAACUGAGGGGGGCUGCUCCUAGUACGAGAGGACCGGAGUGGACGCAUCACUGGUGUUCGGGUUGUCAUGCCAAUGGCACUGCCCGGUAGCUAAAUGCGGAAGAGAUAAGUGCUGAAAGCAUCUAAGCACGAAACUUGCCCCGAGAUGAGUUCUCCCUGACCCUUUAAGGGUCCUGAAGGAACGUUGAAGACGACGACGUUGAUAGGCCGGGUGUGUAAGCGCAGCGAUGCGUUGAGCUAACCGGUACUAAUGAACCGUGAGG
rnacentral:rRNA from 1 species